rnacentral:tRNA from 1 species
GGGAGGGUGGUCUAGCUUGGUAUGAUACUCGGCUGGGGGCCGAGUGGCCGGGGGUUCGAAUCCCCCUCCUCCCA